rnacentral:rRNA from 1 species
AUUGAACGCUGGCGGCAUGCCUUACACAUGCAAGUCGAACGGCAGCACGGAGCUUGCUCUGGUGGCGAGUGGCGAACGGGUGAGUAAUAUAUCGGAACGUACCCUAGAGUGGGGGAUAACGUAGCGAAAGUUACGCUAAUACCGCAUACGAUCUAAGGAUGAAAGUGGGGGAUCGCAAGACCUCAUGCUCGUGGAGCGGCCGAUAUCUGAUUAGCUAGUUGGUAGGGUAAAAGCCUACCAAGGCAUCGAUCAGUAGCUGGUCUGAGAGGACGACAGCCACACUGGAACUGAGACACGGUCCAGACUCCUACGGGAGGCAGCAGUGGGGAAUUUUGGACAAUGGGCGAAAGCCUGAUCCAGCAAUGCCGCGUGAGUGAAGAAGGCCUUCGGGUUGUAAAGCUCUUUUGUCAGGGAAGAGACGGUGAAAGCUAAUAUCUUUUGCUAAUGACGGUACCUGAAGAAUAAGCACCGGCUAACUACGUGCCAGCAGCCGCGGUAAUACGUAGGGUGCAAGCGUUAAUCGGAAUUACUGGGCGUAAAGCGUGCGCAGGCGGUUUUGUAAGUCUGAUGUGAAAUCCCCGGGCUCAACCUGGGAAUUGCAUUGGAGACUGCAAGGCUAGAAUCUGGCAGAGGGGGGUAGAAUUCCACGUGUAGCAGUGAAAUGCGUAGAUAUGUGGAGGAACACCGAUGGCGAAGGCAGCCCCCUGGGUCAAGAUUGACGCUCAUGCACGAAAGCGUGGGGAGCAAACAGGAUUAGAUACCCUGGUAGUCCACGCCCUAAACGAUGUCUACUAGUUGUCGGGUCUUAAUUGACUUGGUAACGCAGCUAACGCGUGAAGUAGACCGCCUGGGGAGUACGGUCGCAAGAUUAAAACUCAAAGGAAUUGACGGGGACCCGCACAAGCGGUGGAUGAUGUGGAUUAAUUCGAUGCAACGCGAAAAACCUUACCUACCCUUGACAUGGCUGGAAUCCUUGAGAGAUCAGGGAGUGCUCGAAAGAGAACCAGUACACAGGUGCUGCAUGGCUGUCGUCAGCUCGUGUCGUGAGAUGUUGGGUUAAGUCCCGCAACGAGCGCAACCCUUGUCAUUAGUUGCUACGAAAGGGCACUCUAAUGAGACUGCCGGUGACAAACCGGAGGAAGGUGGGGAUGACGUCAAGUCCUCAUGGCCCUUAUGGGUAGGGCUUCACACGUCAUACAAUGGUACAUACAGAGCGCCGCCAACCCGCGAGGGGGAGCUAAUCGCAGAAAGUGUAUCGUAGUCCGGAUUGUAGUCUGCAACUCGACUGCAUGAAGUUGGAAUCGCUGGUAAUCGCGGAUCAGCAUGUCGCGGUGAAUACGUUCCCGGGUCU